rnacentral:rRNA from 1 species
UACGGAGGGUGCAAGCGUUGUCCGGAUUUAUUGGGUUUAAAGGGUGCGUAGGCGGGCCUUUAAGUCAGUGGUGAAAGCCGACAGCUCAACUGUCGAAAUGCCAUUGAUACUGGGGGUCUUGAGUACAGUAGAGGUAGGCGGAAUUAAUGGUGUAGCGGUGAAAUGCAUAGAUACCAUUAAGAACACCGAUUGCGAAGGCAGCUUACUAUAGUGUAACUGACGCUGAGGCACGAAAGUGUGGGGAUCAAACAGG